AUACUUACCUGGCAGGGAGAUACCAUGAUCAUGAAGGUGGUUCACCCAGGCGAGGCUCAGCCAUUGCCACUUGAGUUUGUGCUGACCCGUGCGAAUUCCCCAAAUGUGAAGAUCUGACUGCAUAAUUUGUGGUAGUGGGGGACUGCGUCCGCGCUCUCCCUAA